CCUCGGCGGCAGCAGUGGGGAAUAUUGGACAAUGGGCGAAAGCCUGAUCCAGCCAUGCCGCGUGUGUGAAGAAGGCCUUCGGGUUGUAAAGCACUUUCAGUGGGGAAGAAAGCCUUGGGGCUAAUACCCUCGAGGAAGGACAUCACCCACAGAAGAAGCACCGGCUAACUCCGUGCCAGCAGCCGCGGUAAUACGGAGGGUGCGAGCGUUAAUCGGAAUUACUGGGCGUAAAGCGCGCGUAGGCGGUCUGAUAAGCCGGUUGUGAAAGCCCCGGGCUCAACCUGGGAACGGCAUCCGGAACUGUCAGGCUAGAGUGCAGGAGAGGAAGGUAGAAGUCCCGGUGUAGCGGUGAAAUGCGUAGAGAUCGGGAGGAAUACCAGUGGCGAAGGCGGCCUUCUGGACUGACACUGACGCUGAGGUGCGAAAGCGUGGGUAGCAAACAGGAUUAGAUACCCUAGUAGUC
rnacentral:rRNA from 1 species